AAGCCGUGAUGAGGGCAUUUGGCUGAUAACCUUUGAAGCAAUCCCAUGCUUCAUCAGAAGGUUUCAGCAUUCUUCUGAGAUGAAUCCGGAUAUCUCAUUCCGGAGUCU